CCAGACUCCUACGGUAGGCAGCAGUGGGGAAUAUUGCACAAUGGGGGAAACCCUGAUGCAGCGACGCCGCGUGAGCGAAGAAGUACCUCGGUAUGUAAAGCUCUAUCAGCAGGGAAGAAGAUGACGGUACCUGACCAAGAAGCUCCGGCUAAAUACGUGCCAGCAGCCGCGGUAAUACGUAUGGAGCAAGCGUUAUCCGGAAUUACUGGGUGUAAAGGGAGCGUAGGCGGGGAUGCAAGUUGGAUGUUUAAACUAUCGGCUCAACCGGGAAUUGCAACCAAAACUGCAACUCUUGAGUGAAGUAGAGGCAGGCGGAAUUCCUAGUGUAGCGGUGAAAUGCGUAGAUAUUAGGAGGAACACCAGUGGCGAAGGCGGCCUGCUGGGCUUUAACUGACGCUGAGGCUCGAAAGCGUGGGGAGCAAACAGGAUUAGAUACCCUUGUAGUU
rnacentral:rRNA from 1 species